rnacentral:rRNA from 1 species
GGGUUGUGAGGUUAAGCGACUAAGCGUACACGGUGGAUGCCCUGGCAGUCAGAGGCGAUGAAGGACGUGCUAAUCUGCGAAAAGCGUCGGUAAGGUGAUAUGAACCGUUACAGCCGGCGAUGUCCGAAUGGGGAAACCCAGUGUGAUUCGUCACACUAUCGUUAACUGAAUACAUAGGUUAACGAGGCGAACCGGGGGAACUGAAACAUCUAAGUACCCCGAGGAAAAGAAAUCAACCGAGAUUCCCCCAGUAGCGGCGAGCGAACGGGGAGCAGCCCAGAGUCUGAAUCAGCUUGUGUGUUAGUGGAACGGUCUGGAAAGUCCGACGGUACAGGGUGAUAGUCCCGUACACCAAAAUGCACAGGCUGUGAACUCGAAGAGUAGGGCGGGACACGUGGUAUCCUGUCUGAAUAUGGGGGGACCAUCCUCCAAGGCUAAAUACUCCUGACUGACCGAUAGUGAACCAGUACCGUGAGGGAAAGGCGAAAAGAACCCCGGCGAGGGGAGUGAAAAAGAACCUGAAACCGUGUACGUACAAGCAGUGGGAGCACCUUCGGGUGUGACUGCGUACCUUUUGUAUAAUGGGUCAGCGACUUAUAUUCUGUAGCAAGGUUAACCGUAUAGGGGAGCCGCAGGGAAACCGAGUCUUAACUGGGCGUUAAGUUGCAGGGUAUAGACCCGAAACCCGGUGAUCUAGCCAUGGGCAGGUUGAAGGUUGGGUAACACUAACUGGAGGACCGAACCGACUAAUGUUGAAAAAUUAGCGGAUGACUUGUGGCUGGGGGUGAAAGGCCAAUCAAACCGGGAGAUAGCUGGUUCUCCCCGAAAGCUAUUUAGGUAGCGCCUCGUGAACUCAUCUUCGGGGGUAGAGCACUGUUUCGGCUAGGGGGUCAUCCCGACUUACCAACCCGAUGCAAACUACGAAUACCGAAGAAUGUUAUCACGGGAGACACACGGCGGGUGCUAACGUCCGUCGUGAAGAGGGAAACAACCCAGACCGCCAGCUAAGGUCCCAAAGUCAUGGUUAAGUGGGAAACGAUGUGGGAAGGCACAGACAGCCAGGAUGUUGGCUUAGAAGCAGCCAUCAUUUAAAGAAAGCGUAAUAGCUCACUGGUCGAGUCGGCCUGCGCGGAAGAUGUAACGGGGCUAAACCAUGCACCGAAGCUGCGGCAGCGACACUAUGUGUUGUUGGGUAGGGGAGCGUUCUGUAAGCCUGCGAAGGUGACCUGUGAGGGUUGCUGGAGGUAUCAGAAGUGCGAAUGCUGACAUAAGUAACGAUAAAGCGGGUGAAAAGCCCGCUCGCCGGAAGACCAAGGGUUCCUGUCCAACGUUAAUCGGGGCAGGGUGAGUCGACCCCUAAGGCGAGGCCGAAAGGCGUAGUCGAUGGGAAACAGGUUAAUAUUCCUGUACUUGGUGUUACUGCGAAGGGGGGACGGAGAAGGCUAUGUUAGCCGGGCGACGGUUGUCCCGGUUUAAGCAUGUAGGCUGGUUAUCCAGGCAAAUCCGGAUAAUCAAGGCUGAGGUGUGAUGACGAGGCACUACGGUGCUGAAGUAACAAAUGCCCUGCUUCCAGGAAAAGCCUCUAAGCAUCAGGUAACACGAAAUCGUACCCCAAACCGACACAGGUGGUCAGGUAGAGAAUACCAAGGCGCUUGAGAGAACUCGGGUGAAGGAACUAGGCAAAAUGGUGCCGUAACUUCGGGAGAAGGCACGCUGGUGUGUAGGUGAAGUCCCUGCGGAUGGAGCUGAGACCAGUCGAAGAUACCAGCUGGCUGCAACUGUUUAUUAAAAACACAGCACUGUGCAAACACGAAAGUGGACGUAUACGGUGUGACGCCUGCCCGGUGCCGGAAGGUUAAUUGAUGGGGUUAUCCGUAAGGAGAAGCUCUUGAUCGAAGCCCCGGUAAACGGCGGCCGUAACUAUAACGGUCCUAAGGUAGCGAAAUUCCUUGUCGGGUAAGUUCCGACCUGCACGAAUGGCGUAAUGAUGGCCAGGCUGUCUCCACCCGAGACUCAGUGAAAUUGAACUCGCUGUGAAGAUGCAGUGUACCCGCGGCAAGACGGAAAGACCCCGUGAACCUUUACUAUAGCUUGACACUGAACAUUGAGCCUUGAUGUGUAGGAUAGGUGGGAGGCUUUGAAGCGUGGACGCCAGUCUGCGUGGAGCCAACCUUGAAAUACCACCCUUUAAUGUUUGAUGUUCUAACGUUGGCCCCUUAUCGGGGUUGCGGACAGUGUCUGGUGGGUAGUUUGACUGGGGCGGUCUCCUCCCAAAGCGUAACGGAGGAGCACGAAGGUUAGCUAAUCCUGGUCGGACAUCAGGAGGUUAGUGCAAUGGCAUAAGCUAGCUUGACUGCGAGCGUGACGGCGCGAGCAGGUGCGAAAGCAGGUCAUAGUGAUCCGGUGGUUCUGAAUGGAAGGGCCAUCGCUCAACGGAUAAAAGGUACUCCGGGGAUAACAGGCUGAUACCGCCCAAGAGUUCAUAUCGACGGCGGUGUUUGGCACCUCGAUGUCGGCUCAUCACAUCCUGGGGCUGAAGUAGGUCCCAAGGGUAUGGCUGUUCGCCAUUUAAAGUGGUACGCGAGCUGGGUUUAGAACGUCGUGAGACAGUUCGGUCCCUAUCUGCCGUGGGCGCUGGAGAAUUGAGGGGGGCUGCUCCUAGUACGAGAGGACCGGAGUGGACGCAUCACUGGUGUUCGGGUUGUCAUGCCAAUGGCACUGCCCGGUAGCUAAAUGCGGAAGAGAUAAGUGCUGAAAGCAUCUAAGCACGAAACUUGCCCCGAGAUGAGUUCUCCCUGAGACUUUAAGUCUCCUGAAGGAACGUUGAAGACGACGACGUUGAUAGGCCGGGUGUGUAAGCGCAGCGAUGCGUUGAGCUAACCGGUACUAAUGAACCGUGAGGCUUAACCUUACAACGCCGAAG